GGACAACUUACCCUUAGGACGGGGAUAAACCCGGGAAACUGGGUAUAAUACCCGAUAGUCCUCGAAUGCUGGAAUGCGUCGAGGACGAAAGCUCCGGUGCCUAAGGAUGGGCCUGCGGCCUAUCAGGUAGUAGUGGGUGUAGCGUACCUACUAGCCUACGACGGGUACGGGUUGUGAGAGCAAGAGCCCGGAGAUGGAUUCUGAGACACGAAUCCAGGCCCUACGGGGUGCAGCAGGCGCGAAAACUUUACAAUGCUGGCAACAGCGAUAAGGGAACCUCGAGUGCCAGGUUACAAAUCUGGCUGUCGAGAUGCCUAAAAAGCAUUUCAUAGCCAGGGCCGGGCACGACCGGUGCCAGCCGCCGCGUUAACACCGGCGGCUCGAGUGGUAACCGUUAUUAUUGGGUCUAAAGGGUCUGUAGCCGGCCAGAUAAGUCUCUUGAGAAAUCUGGAAGCUCAACUGUCUGGCUUUCAAGUCAUACUGCCUGGCUC
rnacentral:rRNA from 1 species